GGGGUUGUGGCUUAGCGGUAUAGUGCUUGCCUAGCAAGUGAAAGGCCCUGGGUUCAAUCCUCAGCACCA
rnacentral:tRNA from 1 species